GCUUGGGUUGGGGCAGGCGCACGCAGUCCGCGAGGUCCGGCAUCGCGGCGGACGGGCCGUCCGCCCAGUCGGGGGCCGCCUCCCCGUCCAGGGUC
rnacentral:tRNA from 1 species